rnacentral:rRNA from 1 species
UGGGGAAUAUUGCACAAUGGGCGAAAGCCUGAUGCAGCAACGCCGCGUGAGGGACGACGGCCUUCGGGUGUAAACCUCUUUAGCAAGGAAGAAGCGAAAGUACGGUACUUGCAGAAAAAGCGCCGGCUAACUACGUGCCAGCAGCCGCGGUAAUACGUAGGGCGCAAGCGUUAUCCGGAAUUAUUGGGCGUAAAGAGCUCGUAGGCGGUUUGUCGCGUCUGCUGUGAAAACCCGAGGCUCAACCUCGGGCCUGCAGUGGGUACGGGCAGACUAGAUGCGGUAGGGGAGAUUGGAACUCCUGGUGUAGCGGUGGAAUGCGCAGAUAUCAGGAAGAACACCGAUGGCGAAGGCAGAUCUCUGGGCCGUAACUGACGCUGAGGAGCGAAAGGGUGGGGAGCAAACAGGCUUAGAUACCCUGGUAGUCCACCCCGUAAACGUUGGGAACUAGUUGUGGGGNCCAUUCCACGGAUUCCGUGACGCAGCUAACGCAUUAAGUUCCCCGCCUGGGGAGUACGGCCGCAAGGCU